UAAAUAAACCACAUUCAUUCAAAAUAUUUUGGCGACAUGAAGCGUCGCACCAAAAUUCUAAAAUUCCACAUUCUAUGAAAGGAUGGACCAAGAUAAAUUAACACAAAAUAAAUUUAACAACAAUCUAAAAACUUAAGUUAAACAACAAUACCAUAAGUCUGAAACAAAUCCAAAGAUAAAAACUGAAAACUGAAAUAACAUUUAAAAGGCCAAAAAGGCCAUCAAUCAAUCCUCAUCACUCAAAUCCUCCUCUUCUUCACUUUCUUCACUUUACUCCUCU
rnacentral:lncRNA from 1 species